UGGCGGCGUGGAUAAGACAUGCAAGUCGAACGAGAGAAUUGCUAGCUUGCUAAUAAUUCUCUAGUGGCGCACGGGUGAGUAACACGUGAGUAACCUGCCCCCGAGAGCGGGAUAGCCCUGGGAAACUGGGAUUAAUACCGCAUAGUAUCGAAAGAUUAAAGCAGCAAUGCGCUUGGGGAUGGGCUCGCGGCCUAUUAGUUAGUUGGUGAGGUAACGGCUCACCAAGGCGAUGACGGGUAGCCGGUCUGAGAGGAUGUCCGGCCACACUGGAACUGAGACACGGUCCAGACACCUACGGGUGGCAGCAGUCGAGAAUCAUUCACAAUGGGGGAAACCCUGAUGGUGCGACGCCGCGUGGGGGAAUGAAGGUCUUCGGAUUGUAAACCCCUGUCAUGUGGGAGCAAAUUAAAAAGAUAGUACCACAAGAGGAAGAGACGGCUAACUCUGUGCCAGCAGCCGCGGUAAUACAGAGGUCUCAAGCGUUGUUCGGAAUCACUGGGCGUAAAGCGUGCGUAGGCUGUUUCGUAAGUCGUGUGUGAAAGGCGCGGGCUCAACCCGCGGGCGGCACAUGAUACUGCGAGACUAGAGUAAUGGAGGGGGAACCGGAAUUCACGGUGUAGCA
rnacentral:rRNA from 1 species